CCCGGUGCACAGCUGCCAGACGCUGGCCAGCCAGAUUGGAUUGUCCGGGUGGACUGCGACUCCCCCUCCACGAGGCUGAUGAAGCUGAUGAAAUCGUCAAAGCGCCGCUGUGCGUGGUUCUGGCUUCCGAGUGACUCUGCUCGGGAUGUCGCAUCUGCUAAGUCGACGCCGAUAACCUCUGGACGCCGCCUAGGACCAACACUUCAAGAUGUACUUGGUUGUUGACUCUGUCCUCCUUAAAGGAAAAUGGGUGAGCUUCCGACCGCACUCAAUAGAUUAUGGUCCAAAAAUAGGUCUACUGAUGUCAAAGAGAAAAACAACAUUUAACCCCUAUUCUGGUAAACAAAUCGCUAAUGAACAGGAAAUAAGACAUAAGAUAUAUCAAAU
ensembl:ncRNA lncRNA:CR44741 long non-coding RNA:CR44741